UACGUAGGCAGCGAGCGUUGUUCGGAGUUACUGGGCGUAAAGGGUGCGUAGGUGGCUCUAUAAGUAUGGUGUGAAAUCUCCCGGCUUAACUGGGAGGGUGCGCCGUAGACUGUGGGGCUAGAGUGUGGGAGAGGAAAGUGGAAUUCCUGGUGUAGCGGUGAAAUGCGUAGAUAUCAGGAGGAACACCGGUGGGCGAAGGCGGGUCUCUGG
rnacentral:rRNA from 1 species